UUCAGACUUGGGCAUCAAGUACAUGGUUUGGUUGUCACCUGUGGGUAUGGGUUAGAUAAUGUUGUUGGAAGUAUUCUGAUUGAUCUAUACGCAAAGCAUGGAAAUGUUAAGGAUGCAUUAGGAUUGUUUCAUAGGCUUCAGAAAAAAGAUAUCAUAGCUUUGUCUGGUUUGAUCACAGAGUGUACAAGAAUGGGAUUAAGCUCAUUAGUCUUUUCCCUCUUUAAAGAUAUGAUUAAUAUGGAUCUUGAAGUAGAUCAUUUUGUUAUUACAAAUGUUUUAAAGGUCUGUUCAAGUUUAGGAUCUAUUAGAAGUGGCAAACAGGCUCACGCUUUCUGUGUUAAGAGUGGAUAUGACACAGAGGAGGUUACAGUUACAGCUCUCAUUGACAUGUAUGCAAAAUGUGGUGAAAUUGAGGAUGGGUUAGCUUUGUUUGAUUGUAUGCCAGAAAAAGAUUCUGUAUGUUGGACUGGGAUCAUUGUGGGGUGUGGACAUAAUGGAAGGGCAAUGGAAGCAAUUAAAUUUUUCUAUGAGAUGGUAGAAUUGGGUUUAAAGCCAAAUGAAAUUACCUUUACAGGUGUUCUUUCUGCCUGUAGACAUGCUGGUUUGGUGGAAGAGGCGUGGACCAUAUUUAUGUCCAUGAAAACUGAACAUGGAGUGGAACCUCAAUUGGAGCACUAUAAUUGCAUGGUUGAUCUUCUUGGCCAAGCUGGACGCUUCAAAGAGGCAGAAAAAUUGAUUGCUGACAUGCCGUUUGAGCCAAACAGAACUAUAUGGUGCUCGUUGCUUGGGGCCUGUGGAACUCACAAGAAUAUUGAACUGGUUAAUAUUAUUACCGAACACCUUCUUGCAUCCUCACCAAAGGACCCUUCAGUAUAUGUGACACUUGCAAAUGUUUAUGCAACAUUGGGAAUGUGGGAUAGUUUAAGCAAGCUGAGGGAAGCAGUCAAGGAAGUGGGCAUGAAAGAAGCUGGAAAAAGCUGGAUUGAGAUCUCAGGUUAAGUAAUCCUGCUUCACUGCUUGGUGCAACUGGUUUGUCUUAUACUUGAACUAAGUGUUUCCACCUUGGUGUGUGAUGGAACAGAGUCCAUCUGAACUUAAGACCCCUAUAUGUGGCAAACACUGAAUCACAUUAACGAGAUUCAGAAACAUCACGAUGUAUGCAACUUUCAUAAGGAUCUUGAAAAGGAGAUAAUGCUUGGCAGCAAGUUUUACAGAGAUGUUGCAUUUCAGUUAAUGGGUGAUUGAUAUGAUUGGCUACACUACGUGUGCCAUGGCUGCUUUAAAUUAUAGGGAUCUGUGAUGGUGAAGCUUGAAGGGUUGUGGGCAAGAAUAAUUAUUAAGAGAAGAUUUCUGGAAUUGAGGGCCAAGAGAACAGGAGGUUAAAGAAGAGAAUCAGGGGAAAAUGCUUUCAUGAAGAUCUCACCACAUUCAGGGCAAGAACAGAUGCUACUCCUGAGAGAAGGGUCUCUGGUGAAACCAAGUACAGG